UGAUUAAUGUCUCGUGUGAAUAUCUGUUUUUAUCCAGUAACAUCAGAAGAGGAUAGAUUAUGUCAAAUCAAUGCUGGAUUCUUGGUAAGAAAAGAGUUUUGCAUUACACAUCGUGUGGGCGGUUGGGAAAGAUGAGUGUUAAAGUCACAUAGUUAAGCCAACAGUCUCCGAAUGGCACAUAGGCUGACAUCUUCACAGAUAACCCUGCAGGCAGCUCUUAGUAUAGAACAUAUCAUGUCUCCUGUUCUUUCUUAAUCUCUUGACUGUUGUAUUGCUGAAUGUCUGGGUUCCUCUCAUAAAUCCCGUUCUUCAAUAUCCUUUUUCUAGGUACCUGAAAGAUUCAUUAAGCCACUAUUUUCAAUGGGGUUUCCCGUUCAAUAUUGGAGUCAGCAAUGAUUUAGCUCCUCUACUCUUCCCUGUUUUCCUUAUAGCAUUGUCCCUAAAUUGCUGUGCUUAUUGAUACAUUAUUAUUAUCGGGAAUUCACUACUAAUAUUUUGUUGUUUCUAUUUUAUUUAGGAUGAAGGCUCCAUCGAGGGCCAGACCUGAUAUCCGCAGCAAAUUUAAUGCAUCCCUCUGGCCCCUCACUGCCUUCUUUAUGCCCAGUGAAGGCUCCUUAUAUGCCACAAAGGCAUAUCAAGCCUCAUUCAGCAGGAUGAGUGCUCCCUCCUGGGCCACUUCAAGACGUGACCAUCCUUUUCCUGCCCCCGAUCUCUCAGAGGCUCAGAUCUACAGGCAUUACAGAGCUCUACUGGAACAGAGUGGACCUUCUGCCAGAGAGUAAAAGAAGAACACGCCAGGACCCAGAAGAUACCAGAUAAACCGUUGGGACUAGGUGAUCCUAGUGUGCUGUUAAGGGGAAAUUCGUAUCCUAACUCAAAAAAAUUAAAUCGUGAUUAAUCGCAGU